GGGUUUUCCAAAUAUACAGUAGCAUGAUCUUCAAAGAUUUGUGUCUCAUAUUUUAUUCUCAUACUUAUUUUGUUUUAGAAAUUUACUGCUGAUUCCCAUGGGGAAAUAAAGCUCCUGGUUUAUAACUUCUGACCCCAUCUGAGAUGUUAGGAACUUUAUCCUCAUUUGCUGAAUGAAGUUCCACAACUACUUACAAAAUGGGUUCUUCCUGCAGAGUUGCAAGAUGGUUUCCAGUAAGUCCCAGAUUUGAUGCUUCAAAUUUUAACUACCAAGGCUACUGGAGAUAUUGCUUUGAAGAAAGAUUGCAAAUUGAUGGUCAUUCUUCUCAUAUAAUCUUUCUCCAGAAGGAAUUAUUUACACUGAAAAUUUUUUGGAGAAUAGAAAAAGCUUCUGAGGACAAAUGAAUAGAAGUAAAUGUUGGUUAAAGAAGAAAGCUAAUUAUUUUUCUUAGCUGUGGAACUUUUAGGUGUUUAUGAAAUGCUAAUAUAGGUUGUGAAUCUUUAAGAGGAUGACAUCCUAUUGACAAAAGAAAAUCUACCAACCGCUCAAGAAAGCUGUGUGCGCCAGAGAAAAUUUUGCAAAAAUCUUUCCUGGAAAAAGGAAGGACAUUUCAAUCUGUUGAGUUUUUCUUGACGUUGAUGGGAAUGGUAAACAGCUGGGGUCUGGAUGGCACACCAUGGGAUCACAAUCAAAAGGUCGAAAAUGAUACCAUUAAA
rnacentral:lncRNA from 1 species